rnacentral:rRNA from 1 species
GAUGAACGCUAGCUACAGGCUUAACACAUGCAAGUCGAGGGCAGCACUAGGUAGCAAUACUGAGGUGGCGACCGGCGCACGGGUGCGUAACGCGUAUCCAACCUUCCCGUUACUCUUGGAUAGCCUUCCGAAAGGGAGAUUAAUACAAGAUGGUAUUCAAAUUCCGCAUGUUAUUUGAAUUAAAGAUUUAUCGGUAACGGAUGGGGAUGCGUGACAUUAGAUAGUAGGCGGGGUAACGGCCCACCUAGUCUACGAUCGUUAGGGGUUCUGAGAGGAAGGUCCCCCACACUGGAACUGAGACACGGUCCAGACUCCUACGGGAGCAGCAGUGAGGAAUAUUGGUCAAUGGCCG